GUGCAUUUAUUGGUGCAAAACCAGUCGUUUGACUCUUUGCUAACUCUGGAUAAACAAGCAAAUCGCAUGGCCUUGAGCCGGCGAUGCGAUUGUCAAGUAUCUGCCUUAUCAACUGUCGUUGGUAGUUUAUUGGACUACCAUGGUGUUGACGGGUAACGGAGAAUAAGGGUUUGACUCCGGAGAGGGAGCCUUAGAAACGGCUACCAUGUCUAAGGAUAGCAGCAGGCGCGAAAAUUACCCAAUAUCAAAAGGAUGAGGUAGUGACGAGAAAUAACGAGACCGUUCUCUUUGAGGUCGGUCAUUGGAAUGAGUACAAUCCAGACACUUUAACGAGUAUCUACGAGAGGGCAAGUCUGGUGCCAGCAGCCGCGGUAAUUCCAGCUCUCGUAAGGUAUAGAAUUAUUGCUGUGGUUAAAAAGUUCGUAGUUGGAUUGCAACGCAGACACGGGUCUACCUUUUGUGGUGUGCACUCGGUUGUCUGUAUUUUGUUCGUUUCUUCGAACAUUCGGCGUUGUUCUUCGGAGCGGCGUGGGAUGUUCGCGAACAGGAUUACUUUGAACGGCUCAAGUGCUCAACGCACGUCUUAUGACCGAAUACCGGUGCAUGGAAUAAUGGAACAAGGCUUCGGCCGAGUUUUAUUGGUUUUGUCGGUUGAAGCAAUGGUUAACAGGAACAACCGGGGGCAUUCGUAUCGCUGCGCGAGAGGUGAAAUUCGUGGACCGUAGCGAGACGCCCAAAAGCGAAGGCACUUGCCAAGAGUGUUUUCAUUAAUCAAGAACGAAAGUCAGAGGUUCGAAGGCGAUUAGAUACCGCCC
rnacentral:rRNA from 1 species